GAACACAGAGCUGACAUUUUCACAAUUAAAUUACAAUAUUAUAUUUCUCACACAUAUACAUAUAUAUUGUCAUAAUUGGUUUAUGGAGCAAGUCAAGUGCUGGCUGGACAGUCGUAAAAGCGAAAGCUUUUCCAAAUUUCCAAAACCCAAAAGCAAAAAAUAUAUAGGUAUGUAAAGUCUGUUGAGCCAAAUCUAAUUAGAAAACUCCGACACUUUGGAUACGCUUGCUAGGCCUCAUCUUGAGCUACAAAUUCGAAACAAUUGUGUUGGCAUUUUCACUCAUGUUGAGAGGGAAAAAAGAAAUAACGAAAUGCAGAACACACUCGAGUGACUUUUUUUCAACCCAAGUACAAGCUGAAGAUCAGGCAAAGAAACCAGUUCUGGGUUGGGUUUGGAUGGCUCGGAUGGCUUGGAUGGCUUGGAUGGCUUGGAUAGCUGGCUGGGCAGGGUUAUUGCUCGUGCCAGCGAGUCAUAUACAUACGUAGUAUUUAUAUUGCCACUAUGUAUAAUCAAAGCUUAGAGAAACCUGUGUAAAAAUAGUCUUUGCGUUUACUACUUGGGAUGCCAAGCUGUGCGAUCAGCGAGAAGCGAGCGCCGAGUAGCAGCAACAAAAAUAUACAAGCUCAAAGAUAAUAUUGAAAGGCUUGCAAUAUUAAGCAGCUCAAAAGCUAAAGAGGCGGACUGUUUUUAAUGAAACAGUUUUAAGCGAUAACAGGUGCAAAAGGCGAGCCAAACUGAUCCCUAAGUGAUCAGAAGAUCAAGGAAGAAGGAGCGAGCUGAAAUGAGUGGUUCACGUUUAAACCAAUGUUUAUUUACUGAAUUUCCGGUCUUCAGUCUAAGCUUCAGCCUAAAUCUUCAGUGACUUAAUAAGUUUUUGGAAAAUUAUUUAGUUAGUAAAUAAAACGGCACAUUUUCCGCAUGAGGAAAGCA